rnacentral:rRNA from 1 species
UACGGGGGGGGCAAGCGUUGUUCGGAAUUACUGGGCGUAAAGCGCACGUAGGCGGGGCGUUAAGUCAGGGGUGAAAUCCCAGAGCUCAACUCUGGAACUGCCCUUGAUACUGGCGACCUAGAGUUCGGAAGAGGUUAGUGGAAUUCCCAGUGUAGAGGUGAAAUUCGUAGAUAUUGGGAAGAACACCAGUGGCGAAGGCGGCUAACUGGUCCGAUACUGACGCUGAGGUGCGAAAGCGUGGGGAGCAAACAGG